GACUUCUACGCGGUCCACCAGAAUUACAGCACAAAGCUGACACUCCAUUUCAGGGAUUCCAUGGCAAGUGAUGUAAAGGCUGCAUCAGCAGGUAUGUGUCUGCAGUAUGUCAAAGUUAAGUUGUCAGGAUUCAGGAAAACGGAAGGACUUAGUUUUCCUAUUUUCCAUAGUUUGACACCUUAAACAAGAAGAACAUAUUUAUAUUGGCAUUUGACACCUUAAACAAGAGUUGUACUUAAAUUAUUUGGAGUUAUCAAGCAUUUGACACCUUAAACAAGAGUCAUAUUUAGAUUAGCAUCUGAUCAGUUCCUUAGUAGGAGAACCCUAAUGGUAAGCCAAGCAGAGUCUAUAAAAAUCACAGAUCGAGAAAAUAUAUGUUUAUUGGCAAUUGCAAACCAUAACUGACAUAGUGACACAAUUCUCCAAAUGAGUCAAAUCAAACCCCUUUUGAUAGUAUUAUGAGUAUAAAUGAAAGAACAUGUAAACAGAGUGUGUUAUCAUUUCAUCAAGGAUAAAACAGUCUUAGUUAUAGGAGUCGUAUAAGGCUUAGGCAAACAGGUGUCAGAUGAUCAAGAAAAUAGAAAACGUCACAAGCAACACGAACACACAAAAACCUAAACUCGCCAUUUUUUAUAUAGUAUGCUUUAUUAUGUGUUAUGAUGUUGUUUCUUCGCUAUUAAACUAGUACCAUCUGACCGAAAUUUCCUUAUGCAAUUUCAAAAGCGAUUGAAUUACUGGAUAAUUACAAACUGCAAGCCAUCAUUGGUCCCCAGAAAUCAUCAGAAGCUGUAUUCAUCUCCAAGAUUGGAAAUAUAACCCAAGUCCCCACAGUAUCCUUCACAGCAACAAGCCCCUCUCUCACUUCAGAUACUAUGCCAUAUUUUGUGCGUGCAACAUUGAAUGACUCAGCUCAGGUGAAUAGCAUUGCCUCGCUUGUAAAAGCCUAUGGAUGGAGAGAAGUGGUGCUAGUAUAUGAAAACACCGACUAUGGUAGAGGCAUUCUACCGUACCUCAUUAGUGCACUUCAAGAGAGUGAUGUUCAUGUCCCGUAUCAGAGUGUUAUCCCUCCAUCAGCAACAAGUGAAAUCAUGAUGCAAGAACUCUAUAAGUUGAUGACAAUGCAAACAAGGGUGUUUAUUGUUCAUAUGUCAUCCACGAUGACUUCCCUUCUUUUUACAAAGGCCAAAGAGGCAGGGAUGAUGGACAAAGGAUUUGCGUGGAUUACUACAAACGGAGUAGCAAACAUCAUCGACUCACUCAAUCCAAGUGUGACCGAGGUGAUGAAUGGUGUACUGGGAGUAAGGUACCAUGUCCCCAAAUCAAAAGAGCUUGAUAGUUUCUCCAUAAGGUGGAACAGAAUGUACCAACAGGAUAACCCAGAUGAAUCACCCUUCAAUAAACUAAGCAUUGUUGGACUACGGGCCUAUGAUACGAUAUGGGCAUUAGCACAGGCAGCAGAAAAGGUUGGGAUAUCCAGUGCCCCAAAUAAGCAACCAUGGUCCAUUAAGAACUCCACAUGCUUGGAAUCCAUGGUUAUUUCCCCAAAUGGUCCAAAACUCUUAGCAGCAAUUGUACAAAAUAAGUUUAGAGGUAUAAGUGGCGACUUUGACCUUACAGACAAACAGCUUAAAGUUUCUGUGUUCCAAAUAAUAAAUGUGGUUGGGAGAGGUUGGAGAGAAAUCGGGUUUUGGAGUGUGAAAAGUGGACUUUCACGGCAGUUGAAUCAAAAUGGCUUAAAAACAACAGGAUCAGCCUCAAUGCUUGAUCUAAAUCCUGUAAUUUGGCCAGGAGAGUCAACUGAAAUACCGAGGGGCUGGGAAAUUCCUAUAAGUGGUAAGAAGCUUAGAGUCGGUGUGCACACGAGCAAUUGCCCAGAGUUUAUAAAGACAUUCAGAGAUCCUGUUACAAAUGUAACAAGUGCGAGUGGCCUUUCAAUUGACAUAUUUGAGGAGGCAAUAAAGAGGCUACCUUUUGCACUUACUUAUGAGUACCUGGCAUUUGACACAGCUGAUACAGCAACUACAGGAAGCUAUAACGAUUUUAUUUAUCAAGUUUAUCUUCAGGUAAGAAAUACAUUACGAAAGAUUUGGUUUCAAUUUCUUAAUCUAUCAUUGCAGAAACUAGAAGCUGCAUACAUUCCACUGUUAAGAAGAAAACUCUAGUAGCUAAAACAUUUUACAAGAUAUUAACUUAGUUCCACAUUUUCAUCCAGUGUUUUGUUCUGCUUUCAAUUGAAACCAGGCUCCUAUUUUAUUUUACAUAGAAGGAUGUCAGAUAGAAAGGCUCAUUGUAUUUUGUUUUUCUCAAAGCAAAUCAAAAGUCUAUUUUGCAUGCUAAAAUAUUUUCCUCUUAUUGAACAAUUUACUUCCAGUGUUUAAUCAUUCUUAGAAGUAGAUCAUCACUUUCUUAUUUCUCAAAUAUAUGAAGCUGAUUCAUGCCAUUGCAGAAAUACGACAUAGCGGUUGGAGAUAUUACUGUAAGGUACAAUAGAUCAUUGUAUGUCGACUUCACUGUACCGUACACAGAAUCUGGAGUAGGGAUGAUUGUUCCAGUCAAGGAAAACAUGAUCAAGAAUAUGUGGAUUUUCUUGAAACCAUUGAGCACUGGAAUGUGGUUUGGAAGCAUCAUAUUCUUUAUUUACACAGGAGUUGUUGCCUGGCUUCUGGAGUAUCUAAAUGGCAAUCAACAUGUACAUGGUCCCUUUUCACUCAAACAAGUGGGGAUUACAAUGUUCUUCUCCAUUUUUGAAGAGAGUUGAGUAAACAUUACAGUUUCCUAGAUCUUUGCUUAAUUUUGAACAAGUAUUUCAGUUGCAUAGACAAAGUAUACGUUGCACUGCAUGAAAAUAAGAAGCGCCGAAAGAUUCCUUCGAAAAAGAUUACUGCAGUGAUCUAACUAAACUGCACCUCCACAACUUUUAGGAAAGAAAAUCAUCUGUAUGACCCCAUUUUAGUUAAACUUAUCUUAAUGUUUCUCAGCAUAAGAACCUAGAUCUGUCUAAUUAGUACUCCCUUCGUUCCAUAAUUAUUGUUGUGGUUUUAGUUCAAAUCUAGCUGGGGAUGAACUAAUGCUAGUACGUAUCUGCUUUAGAAACAUGAAAGCAAUACACCUGUUCUUCAUAAUUGCGCUUCACUAAAGGAAAAAAAAUUAUAGCGUCAAUUGAAAAAAAUGAUGGUAAGACUUGCAUUUAUCAUACCAAGAAAUAGAUAUUGCAUAUGCUUUCAAGCAAGUCCUCCAAUGGCAUGCAUUGCAGUAUCCCAAUCAAGUCCUGGAAUGUUAUGCAUUGCAGUAUCCCAGCUUUCAAGUUUGUUUACUGUCUCAAUAAUAUCUUCAUCAUUAUUGCAGAGGAGAAGCUGGAACGAUUUCUAUCCAGAAUUGUUCUACUUGUAUGGAUGUUUGUUUUUCUGGUACUUACAUCAAGUUAUACAGCAAGCUUUGCAUCAAUGCUGACUGUACAGCAGCUUUCACCAACAGUGACUGAUGUUCAUGAACUCCAGAGGAAAGGAGAAUAUGUAGGGUUCCACCGUGGUUCCUAUAUAGAGGGUCUACUGGUGGAUAUUGGUUUUGAAAAAUCAAAGAUGAGGCCCUACGAAACACAGGAAGAUUUCGCUGCUGCUCUUUCUAAAGGAAGCAAAGAUGGUGGCAUUGCUGCGCUUGUACAUGAAAUCCCCUACAUCAAACUGUUUCUUGCAAAGUACAGCAAAGGUUACACAAUGGUGGGACCUAUCUACAAGAGUGCAGGUUUUGCAUUUGUAAGUUUAACUCACUCACUAGGGUGCUUUGUUUUAAUCUCUUGAAAAAAAAAUCUGCAUUGAAGUUUGCUAGCAAGUCAAGUAAAAUGUUAUGCUCAUGUUUCUCCUUCAAUUCUACAUACCACGUCCCCUAAGAUUGCUAUAUACAAAUUCGAAGUUACGAAAUAAAAAUAGAAAUAGUGAGGCUAUCUAAUAGCAUACGAUGAAUAAUUUAUCUUCCAGUUGACUGAAUGAAAAGUUGAAAAAGGGUGGAGAUAAAUGUCAAAGUGAAAACGAUGCCCUUUUCUAGUCUGUCUGUCCCCAAUAAUGAACUCUCACUGACCGCACCCUAUGGGGAUCAUCAAUGUAAGCUUAACUACCAUAUACAACAAUAUAGAAGAGGCAAGCAACAACCAUCACAUAAAAAUAGAUCCAUCCAUUUUCUAUCAAAAAAAUUAUAUGAGCUGAUAUUUCCAUUUGGCGCUGCAGUGGAUUAUGAUAAAUAAUCUUGGAGACCAAGCAAUAGCUUGGAUGGUAGCCGUGCUGGUGGUCUUCCACCAGCCUGGGAUCGACCCUUCAUGGUCACAUUUCCAGGAGCCUCUCUCCGUAUCAAAAUAUAAGCACAGAGGGACUUCACCCCCUUAAGCCAUUCAUUUUUAUGAUAAAUAAUCUCGGUUGGAUGGAUUGCUUCUAGAUAACCUUGGCGUUUAGUUAGUCUGUUUUUUCCUCUUCUAAAACGAAUUGCAUAAUCUGCAUUCGAGAACAUAUGAGAUGUAAUGUGGGAGGUCAACCAUUCGAUAACACUAUAUCUAACUCUGGUCUGAUUUAUCAAACAGAGUAAUAGACUUUUCACAACUUCCUUCUUAAAGCAACUUCAAAAAUAAGUAACUCUCUCCGUAUCAAAAUAUAAGACGUUUUUUGACACUAGGAGUACAUCACAACACAACAACCACAAACUAAACCUGAAAACAGGCCCUAUGGUCAGAUUACUGAAUUUUUGUACUGCUUGAGCAACUUUUAGUAUGAUAGUGUGAAAGUAUGGUACUGCUGCUAAGCAACACCAUCAUUGACCAUCUUCCAUUAUAUCUUGUUAGCUAAGAAUAUUCAGCCCAAUGGAAAUUUUACUUUUCAGGCUUUUAUAGUCAGAUAUUAUGAUGAAUAGAAUUCUUUGUGUGUUAGCUUGUGCAAGCUUAUAAUAAUGAUCUCUUUGGUAAUCAGGCACUUCCCAAGCAAUCACCACUAAGAGCUGAAAUGUCAAGGGCAAUACUCAACAUAACAGGAGAAGAUAGUAUCAAUGAAAUUGAAAAGAAAUGGAUAUAUCAAAACAGCCAUCAACAUGAGGAUAAAAUUGAUGGUUCAGGCGCUAUCACCUUUGAAAGUUUUGGGGGGUUAUUCCUCCUAACUGGGAUCGUGACAACCUGUUCCCUUGCUGUAGCCAUGCUGAUGAACCUCUACAAAAAAUAUCAAGAAAAUGCAUGGAGCAAAGAAGACGAUCAAAAUGAGUGUGGACACAGGCAACAAGGAGAAAAUGGAGAUUCACAGGAAGAACAAGGAGAUCAAAACAGCAAUGAACACGGAAACUGCAGUGAUAUAGAGAAGCAGACAACAUUGACAGUGCCACUCAGUUCGAACACAGAGUGACCAGCUACCAGAACAGUUAGAACCAACAAUAUAGGCUGUGGAUUCACACAAAAUAACAAGGCAACGUCACUGACUCAUAUUGAUCCAUAAAUCAUUCGCAGGGGAGACAAAAGUAGAAUGUCAUUAAGUGGAUCAAGCUAGUUCCAAGCUGAGCAAAGAUCACCUUCCAAGCUCAAAGAUCCACAACUAACUGCGGGGAAAGCCUGGCUGAACUUUGGGUGUGUGGAGCUUCCUAUGGAUGCAAAAUCAAGUAAAGUUUCAGUCUGUUUUAUGCUUCACCCUUCCGGGCAUCACCUGUCUCGGUCUAUCAUAUACUACUGUAGUUUUCCUGAAAAAAUCAAGGCUAUACACUCCUUGUAGAGACUAUUUCUGUACAUACUUUGUAUAUUCAGGUUUUCACACGGAAAGGAGGUGGACGUGGAUCAUCCAAUUAUCAUCACUUCGUUUCGCAACCUGGAAAAUACGAGGCAGGCAUUCUAACGAACACCUUGGCUGCACUAUCCGUCUGCCCCCAUAAAUUCCAACACAUCAAACUAGUGUUCUGCAAAAUUCCGGUAGCACAUCCGCGAACGCAUAUAGUAGGGGAUCGAAUUUCGAUCUUAAGGAGGGACGGGAAGCAAGAGUUCAUUUCGGAAGUUUGCGCUCGGCAGAACUGAUCGAAUCUCGACGUACCUUGCCGGUUGCCGCCAGGCUCGCCGGGCGCCGGAUGGGCUCCUCCAUCCGUCGAGACGGCGGGUGGGCGAACCCCUCAGCGCGGCAUGAGGAGGACCCGUUGCGGUGGCAGGUGGAGGAAUGCGGCCGCGGGGCUCGAAGACUGGG
rnacentral:lncRNA from 1 species